UCGGGAAACCGGAGCUAAUACCGGAUACGUUCUUUUCUCGCAUGAGAGAAGAUGGAAAGACGGUUUACGCUGUCACUUAUAGAUGGGCCCGCGGCGCAUUAGCUAGUUGGUGAGGUAAUGGCUCACCAAGGCGACGAUGCGUAGCCGACCUGAGAGGGUGAUCGGCCACACUGGGACUGAGACACGGCCCAGACUCCUACGGGAGGCAGCAGUAGGGAAUCUUCCGCAAUGGACGAAAGUCUGACGGAGCAACGCCGCGUGAACGAAGAAGGCCUUCGGGUCGUAAAGUUCUGUUGUUAGGGAAGAACAAGUACCAGAGUAACUGCUGGUACCUUGACGGUACCUAACCAGAAAGCCACGGCUAACUACGUGCCAGCAGCCGCGGUAAUACGUAGGUGGCAAGCGUUGUCCGGA
rnacentral:rRNA from 2 species